rnacentral:rRNA from 1 species
UAGGGAAUCUUCGGCAAUGGGGGCAACCCUGACCGAGCAACGCCGCGUGAGUGAAGAAGGUUUUCGGAUCGUAAAGCUCUGUUGUAAGAGAAGAACGUGUGUGAGAGUGGAAAGUUCACACAGUGACGGUAACUUACCAGAAAGGGACGGCUAACUACGUGCCCGA